ensembl:lncRNA
GCUAGGAUUCAGUUUUGGCACCUUCACUUUGGAGCAGUGUUGGUCCCCUGAUCCUUGCUUUUCACUGAAUUUUUGUGUCUGGUUUCUCAUUCUCUUGCUGUAUCAUGCUUUCUGAAACCCUGCUUGCUGAGCCGGUCUUGACAUUCCUAGAAAGGACUGAGUCCACUGGAGAAAUUUUACAGUUUGACCACUUCAAGGAUGAACUGACCACCCUGAGGCAUGAAGAUUAAUGGCCCUGGGACGCUGAACAUGAAAUAAAGCAUCCUGAGCUGUUACCUCCCCUUCUGCAGCACAGAAGUCUUUAUUGCACUGCUGACAAGAUUCCAUGAAAAUGUUAGAGUGUAAUCAUUCAUGUUAUUAAACAGUCCCAGAUCUGGCUUCUGCUGCUGCUGCUGCUAAGUCGCUUCAGUCUAACUCUGUGCGACCCCAUAGAUGGCAGCCCACCAGGCUCCCCUGUCCCUGGGAUUCUCCAGGCAAGACUACUGGAGUGGGUUGCCAUUACCUUCUCCAAUGCAUGAAAGUGAAAAGUGAAAAGUGAAAGUGAAGUCGCUCAGUCGUGUCCAACUCUUAGUGACCCCAUGGACUGCAGUCCACCAGGCUCCUCCGUCCAUGGAAUUUUCCAGGCAAGAGUACUGGAGUGGGGUGCCAUUGCCUUCUCCAGCACAAAGGAACAGAGGAUGUCUUAGGGAUCUAAAAUGCAAACAGCUUCUGGAAAAAUAAUUAAGGCUUGGAGUUGCUCAUGAUGUCACCAAACAGGUAACUUGGGUAAAUGAUUCCCCAAGGCUCUCCAAAUAAAAUUAGAAUAAAAAGAAAAUCUCAUAUUACUGGAACAAAAAUGUCUUUCAAAGAUUUGGAAAUUUUAAAAGAUGAUAUGUAACAUAAAAUUAAACCAGUCAAUCCUAAUGGAAAUCAACCCUGAAUAUCUGCUGGAAGUACUGAUGCUGGAGCUCCAAUACUUUGGCCACCUGAUGCAAAG